rnacentral:rRNA from 1 species
AGUGAACGCUGGCGGGAGGAAGAAAAUAGGAAAGUUGAACGGAAGAAAAGUAAGAGAUUGAUAUUAUGGGUGGAGAGUGGCGGAAGGGUGAGGAAUACAUUGGAAUUUACUUUUUCGUGGGGGAUAACGUAGGGAAACUUACGCUAAUACCGCAUACGACCUACGGGUGAAAGCAGGGGAUCUUCGGACCUUGCGCGAUUGAAUGAGCCGAUGUCGGAUUAGCUAGUUGGCGGGGUAAAGGCCCACCAAGGCGACGAUCCGUAGCUGGUCUGAGAGGAUGCUCAGCCACACUGGAACUGAGACACGGUCCAGACUCCUACGGGAGGCAGCAGUGGGGAAUAUUGGACAAUGUGCGCAAGCCUGAUCCAGCCAUACCGCGUGGGUGAAGAAGGCCUUCGGGUUAUAACUCCCUUUUAUUACGAAAGAAAAGCAGCAGGUUAAUACCCCGCUGUUCUGACGGUACCCAAAGAAUAAGCACCAACUCACUUCGUC